rnacentral:rRNA from 1 species
GUGAGUAACCUGCCCUUGACUCUGGGAUAAGCCUGGGAAACUGGGUCUAAUACCGGAUACGACCAUUGCCCGCAUGGGUUGGUGGUGGAAAGCUUUUGUGGUUUUGGAUGGACUCGCGGCCUAUCAGCUUGUUGGUGAGGUAAUGGCUCACCAAGGCGACGACGGGUAGCCGGCCUGAGAGGGUGACCGGCCACACUGGGACUGAGACACGGCCCAGACUCCUACGGGAGGCAGCAGUGGGGAAUAUUGCACAAUGGGCGAAAGCCUGAUGCAGCGACGCCGCGUGAGGGAUGACGGCCUUCGGGUUGUAAACCUCUUUCAGUAGGGAAGAAGCGAAAGU